UCUUUCCCUCGCAGUCUUAAUGACUUCCACAUGGGCUUCUGGCAUUCUGAGCAUUGUCUGAAAUCUCCAAAUUUAGAAGAAAUAUGAAAAUUGUCAAGCACGCCUUCCUUAGGGGGUAAAACCAACAUUCGCUUGAACUGUCGCAGGUCAAGGCAGCGGGACCACGUGACCAGGCCCCAGCCAAUGGCUGCCCUCAGGACCACUGACAGAUGAGGCCGUCCGCCGUGGAGCAUCGUCUUUCAGCUCAUAUAAGGUAAAAGUAAAAGGUUUUCCAGAUUCUGAGCAGUGAGGGAAAAGUUUUCACCCAGGACCCCUUGUGCCAGCGGCUUAAAAAAGGAGUGUCAACACCGCUCUCCCAGUGUGGCCCUCUGUGUUUCGAAGAGAGGAGAUGGCGCCCACCUUCCCCAUCCUCACCAAGGGCCUAGUGCAUGACAGGUGUGGGCAAGCACAGGAUUGGCUACUGGGGGGAGCAGUCACACGUCUGAGGAUUGGAAGCCUUGCAAAGGACAAUGGACAGCCAAUCUUGAGGAAGAGUCGCAGAUGGCAAGCUAGCUCAGGACGCUAGUCCAUAGCAAGACUGUGACUGGUGUCAGUCCAUCAAAACCUAGUUUCAGCCAACUUUGCUUCUCUUUUAAAAUGAGCGUGAGGUCACAGUAUCAUUGUGAAUGUACAGUAGGUAAUGAUGGUAUUGGUUCAAUAUGUUACAUUACCCAACCUUGCCGUAAACAAUCUGCGGAAUUGUAGCUUGCUGAUGACCGGUUCCUGGCUAUGUUGGGUUUCUCACCGACAGAACUAUAGUUCCUACAGCUCCCUGGGGAGGUGGACUUGCCUCUGAGCCAGUUGAGUGUAAAUACACACUGGCUACAGUCCAACACAGAACUAUAGCAUGCUUAAGCCCAUUCUAAUCAAUUAUCUAAAGUAUGCUUAACCUAGCUUUGGUUUAUGGCUGGCAUGGGUUAGGGUGGAGGCAUGGUUCAAAGGUUAGGAAGAUGAAAAGAAACACUAGAUGUCACCUUCCACAAAUGACUGUGGUUUUUUUGCUUUUCAUUUUUCAUUUUAUGUUUGCAGGGAUUUGUCUUUUUUGGAAACUAUUUGGGCAAUGACGUCUUGUCCUUUCGUUCUCCCUGUCCCUUUGACUCAUUGUGGCUCAUUCCCAAACUUGGCUAAAACUUUUCGUUCCCAACCCAAAUCUAUUCUGUCUGGAUAUAAUGUUGUGUUUGGCAGGGUUUCUGAAACACAGAUUUUACAGAUCUGGGGGUUUGGGGUGAGUUUUUCAGAUGAUCUCAAGACUUGGUAAGCCAGUCUCUCCUACCUUUCCUCCAGCUAUGGAAUCAGAGCUACAAAAGAAAGAAAGAAAAAUGCUCAGAUCCUUUUCAGAAGCCAAGCAAAGAUGCAGAUGUGGCGCAUAUUGAAUGCACAGCUGUCAAAAAAAAUGGUCACCGGUAAUUUCAGAGAAGGUCAAUGCAUCAGCAUAUACAGGAGUGUGAAAUUCAGGCAUCCAGAAAGCUCAUAGGACCCCUGAUGAAAGCUGUUUUGCUUGCAUGUUAUACAGCAGUGUCUUCCAGCAUCUGGCAAAUGCUGCGGAAACCAAUUGUGUCAUUGGUUGCUGUUUUCUUCUCCUACUGAGUAGAAACCUGGAUUAUUUAUUUAUUUAUUUAUUUAUUUAUGCAUGCAUGCCCGUUUUGAGAUGAUUGGAAGCAUGAGGAAAUGAGUGCCUUGCUUCUCAAAGGGUGAUUAGGGCCCUGCUCUCCCUCUCUCUGCUGGAGUUAGUGACAGAACCUUCCUUUCUCUAUCACACAGCACACACCUCUCCCUGUACUGUGUCUGCCUGGUGAAGGAGGAGGAGAAGGGGGGUGGAGAUCAUUUCUGAGGGCUGUGCUUAGAGCCGAGGGGAAGGAGAGGCUGCCAAGGAGCCGGAUGGAGCUGCAGCCCCUGGAGCUGCCAUCUGCUUCUUGUCAGGUUGUUGUGAAGUGCUUGUUCCUGGCUGCCUGGGUGACAGAGGCUGCUGGACUGCAGCAAAAGGAUGCGGUUAUGACAGAUGCUCUGUUUACCAUACUUUGUGCCUAGUCAGGAUCACACAGGAUGUUUGCUUUUGCCUGGGAAAGUCACCGUUUGGUGUCUUGCUCACCUCCUUCCCCAGCGUGUGCUUUCCAAAGGGUCAUCUCCGUUGGGAGGUAUGGAGACCGCACUCCAUCUGUCUUCCUUCGCUCAUGGGAGAAGACUCCCCUUGGUGGGAAUCCCUGUGCUUCCUCGAGGUGUGACGCAGCUGGGGACCCAUUUUCCCCUUUACAACAGGGGUGGGCGGUCUGUGGCGCAAUCAGGUGUUGUCUGACUCCAACUCCAGGCAGAAUGGCCAAUAAUCGGAUACUAGAGUUGGAGUCCAACAACAUCGUGGGGAGGGGGCGGCACAGGUUCCCCAUCCCUGCUCUACAGCAAGGCAUGUCACUGCUCCUCUAGUGAUGCAUAAAGGUUCUUUCAAUGUCCAUUAAUUCCUUGCCACUUGAGUCCUUCUUAGACUGCAUCAGUAGCAGGUGGCUUAGUGGGGUGAGGGGCUGUUGCUUACCUGGCUGCCCAAUGUGGAGGUUGCUGCUGGUAGCCAAGAGGCAGUGGGGAAGUCAGCACACUGCAAGCACAGUGGUAGAGCCAUCCUUAUGCUUCAUCCACACCAACCUCUUUUCUGCCUCCCCACUCCCCCUAAACCCUUUGGUUACGAGCAGUGACCUCCAUGUUGGGAUGCCAGGUAAGCAAUGCCACUCCACUCCACCAGCUGCUAGUGAUGCUACUGGAUUGCAUGUGGUUCAGCUCCAUGAAAGGAAUGUUGGGGAAGGUGUUGCAGUGGUUGACAAAGCCUUAGGAGCAAUCCAGGUCCUUCCCCUGGAGUCUCCUGCUUCCUGCUGGCACUACAGCCAGAUGGAUCGCUGCAGGAGAAUGCCAGAGCUUUCCCAUAGACAAAAAUGCAAAGGCUUUCAACACUGUCUCUGCUAAAUCUUAGCUCAUCCUGUAGUCAGUCAGAAAUCAGAAUGAGCAGGUUAAUUUUAGAAUGUAAUGAUUUUACCAAGGUUAUCUCACAUCUGAUCUCCUGUUACUCCGUUCUUGGGCAAAGCGGAUCAUAGCCCCCUAAGGAUCCUUCUACAAACAAGAAUGAAAGACAGAAUUAUCUCUUUUGGAUCAAAGGCUGAUUACAGAGACUGAUUUAUCUUAUGGGAAAAAGUGAAGCUAAGUAUAAUGGAACUGUAAUGAAAUUGGAAUGAAUAAAUAUGUAAUGUUUUUAAAGUGA